GACGAACGCUGGCGGCGUGCUUAACACAUGCAAGUCGAACGGAAAGGCCCUGCUUUUGUGGGGUGCUCGAGUGGCGAACGGGUGAGUAACACGUGAGUAACCUGCCCUUGACUUUGGGAUAACUUCAGGAAACUGGGGCUAAUACCGGAUAGGAGCUCCUGCUGCAUGGUGGGGGUUGGAAAGUUUCGGCGGUUGGGGAUGGACUCGCGGCUUAUCAGCUUGUUGGUGGGGUAGUGGCUUACCAAGGCUUUGACGGGUAGCCGGCCUGAGAGGGUGACCGGCCACAUUGGGACUGAGAUACGGCCCAGACUCCUACGGGAGGCAGCAGUGGGGAAUAUUGCACAAUGGGCGGGAGCCUGAUGCAGCAACGCCGCGUGCGGGAUGACGGCCUUCGGGUUGUAAACCGCUUUCGCCUGUGACGAAGCGUGAGUGACGGUAAUGGGUAAAGAAGCACCGGCUAACUACGUGCCAGCAGCCGCGGUGAUACGUAGGGUGCGAGCGUUGUCCGGAUUUAUUGGGCGUAAAGGGCUCGUAGGUGGUUGAUCGCGUCGGAAGUGUAAUCUUGGGGCUUAACCCUGAGCGUGCUUUCGAUACGGGUUGACUUGAGGAAGGUAGGGGAGAAUGGAAUUCCUGGUGGAGCGGUGGAAUGCGCAGAUAUCAGGAGGAACACCAGUGGCGAAGGCGGUUCUCUGGGCCUUUCCUGACGCUGAGGAGCGAAAGCGUGGGGAGCGAACAGGCUUAGAUACCCUGGUAGUCCACGCUGUAAACGGUGGGUACUAGGUGUGGGGUCCAUUCCACGGGUUCCGUGCCGUAGCUAACGCUUUAAGUACCCCGCCUGGGGAGUACGGCCGCAAGGCUAAAACUUAAAGGAAUUGACGGGGCCCCGCACAAGCGGCGGAGCAUGCGGAUUAAUUCGAUGCAACGCGUAGAACCUUACCUGGGUUUGACAUGGAUCGGGAGUGCUCAGAGAUGGGUGUGCCUCUUUUGGGGUCGGUUCACAGGUGGUGCAUGGCUGUCGUCAGCUCGUGUCGUGAGAUGUUGGGUUAAGUCCCGCAACGAGCGCAACCCUUGUUCACUGUUGCCAGCACGUUAUGGUGGGGACUCAGUGGAGACCGCCGGGGUCAACUCGGAGGAAGGUGGGGAUGACGUCAAGUCAUCAUGCCCCUUAUGUCCAGGGCUUCACGCAUGCUACAAUGGCUGGUACAGAGAGUGGCGAGCCUGUGAGGGUGAGCGAAUCUCGGAAAGCCGGUCUCAGUUCGGAUUGGGGUCUGCAACUCGACCUCAUGAAGUCGGAGUCGCUAGUAAUCGCAGAUCAGCAACGCUGCGGUGAAUACGUUCCCGGG
rnacentral:rRNA from 1 species